GGGGCUCUUCCAGCCGAAGACAUUCGCGCGCUUUCGUCAAAUCCAGGCGGGCGCGUGGAUGGCCGUUAAAGUGACAAGGCUGGGAAUGGGCCACGGAAUUGCACAGAACAGAUGGCUUCUGAUGACAUUAGUCACAGGAAGUUUAAAAAGUUAUAGCACAUUGGAUGGCGGGGGGAGAGAAGAAAGAAACGUCUAGAAUGGAUUAAGAAUUGUUUGAGAAAAAUCAAGGAGCAUUAGAUGAAAGAAGGCAAAUCAAUUUUCUAUCAGGGACAGUCUUUGAACCAAACACCCAAGCAUCCAGGAAGAUCAAAACACUGCAGCUGAUAGAAGAAACAGCAACGGGGAAUAGGUAAGCUAAGAAAGCAGAAAGGACAACUGGCAUCAUAAAGAAUAACCAAGUACAGAAACAGCACGCUGGAUGAUGGUACACAAUCACAGAUCACAAUAAGGAGACCAAGGAGCGUGUCAGCUGAAUCCAACGGAUAGAGUAGAGAACAAGCAACUAACAAACUUUUGUACGUGUUUAGG